rnacentral:rRNA from 1 species
UACAGAGGGUGCAAGCGUUGUUCGGAAUUAUUGGGCGUAAAGAGCUUGUAGGCGGUUUGUCGCGUCUGCUGUGAAAAUCCGGGGCUCAACCCCGGACUUGCAGUGGGUACGGGCAGACUAGAGUGUGGUAGGGGAGACUGGAAUUCCUGGUGUAGCGGUGAAAUGCGCAGAUAUCAGGAGGAACACCGAUGGCGAAGGCAGGUCUCUGGGCCACUACUGACGCUGAGAAGCGAAAGCGUGGGGAGCGAACAGG